CCGGCUUCCACCCAAGCCUCCGCAUCCUGGGUUGGGGUCAGCGAUGCCAGCUUUCCUGACAGCCCUGUACUAACCUCCCCACCUACUACCUCCCCAAGAAACAGCAAGGGGCUGGCUGCGGUUCAGUGCCUGUCAACCAAUUCAGUGGGAAGGAAACAUUAAACACUCCAACACUGCUUAUUGGAGCUGGGUAAACUCAGCACACCACAGUUUACUUUGCUGUCAGAAAUCCCUUAGCUUACCACAGAGCAGAACCCCCAGAGGACCAGGACUCCCAAUGUCCCCCCAUUCCCCACCCGCCAGGAGAGAGCUUACCUCUCCCUCUUCCCAGCUGAGACCCUUCUGUGUCCCUUUCUGCACCUCUGCCCCGCCGCCCCCUCUAGCUCUCAUGCCUUCAUAUUUCCCCUGCCUUACUCCUCCUUUCCACCCAGCUCAGCCCUGUCCUUCCUAAACCCUCCUUCAGGCUUGGUGUCUUUCAGUAGCCAAAUAAAUUUCAGAGCACGGAGAUGGGAGCCAGCACAGAUGAGGUCCAGGCAUUUUUUAAGGGGUAGAGUGAGAUCAGGAGUCACCCUGUUUCUUCCCUCCCCACCCAGACUCCACACAGCCCUGGGCUGUGAAUCACUGAUUCAAAAGGGCCAUGAAGUUAGGCAAAGGUGCAGAACUGUUAUGGGGCUGGAGGAACAUGCAGGUGGCAUGAGGGCCAUUUGGGUGACAGCAAGAGGAAGCAGCGCUGCUCACUCCUUCUCCAGGGGUUAAAGGCACUCCAUCUAACUUGGAUCAACGAUCCCAGGGCUGUUGAAGGAGAUGACAGGCCCAUGUGUGUGCCCACACUGGCUCCAAGCAGAGAGGAACCAGUUCUACCUCAAGACUCCCAGGCACCCCCGAUCUGGAAGACAGAGCUCUAUCUUGCUGCAAAGCUACAUCUGCCCACCAGAUGAGCAGUACCUGUAAAAACUUCCCACAUCAAGCCUUGUGGGGCUAAUGCCUCUUCCAGAGCCGCUGACAACAGGAAAAUGAUCCUAGCACUGCACUUCCCAAAGGACUCAGAGAUUCUUGCCCUGGAGCCAGGAAUGGGGAGUUUGAUGUUGUGUUGUCCACAGACAUUCCAGAAGGAAAGGGUUGCAGUAGGAGAAGGCCUGGACGAACAAGAGGAGGGACCAGGGAACAAAAGCAGAUUCUCAAAGAGGUCAAUAUAUAUUGGCUAAUUGCUUAAUAUUGGUAAUAGUAUUAAUAACAAAAAUCCCUACCAUUUACUGAAGGCCUUUAGCAUGCCAGGCCUCUUGCAGACAUCGCUCCAAUUCAUUCUCACAGCCUUGCAGAAUAUGUAUUACUUUCCCCAUUCUACAGAAGAAGAAACUGCUACUCCCAGAGGGUAUGCUUUCAAAGAUCACAGGGCUGCCACCAAGCCUGCUGCUUCAUGUCUGAGUGAAACAGAGCAAUCUCCCAGAUAACAGGAGACGGGUAGGUGGAAACAUUUCUAAAAUGGGGCUGAAGGAGAGCAAGUAAGCGCCAAACCUCGGUCCCAGCCCCUCUUGGAAUUGAGUUAAAGAGAAAAGAAGAGCUAAGAGCUCAGCGUUCCUGAAAGCAGCAUGGGUGUCUUUUUUAAUAAACACGCCAAAGCUUGACUCUCUG
rnacentral:lncRNA from 1 species